UACGAAGGGGGCUAGCGUUGCUCGGAAUCACUGGGCGUAAAGGGUGCGUAGGCGGGUCUUUAAGUCAGAGGUGAAAUCCUGGAGCUCAACUCCAGAACUGCCUUUGAUACUGAAGAUCUUGAGUUCGGGAGAGGUGAGUGGAACUGCGAGUGUAGAGGUGAAAUUCGUAGAUAUUCGCAAGAACACCAGUGGCGAAGGCGGCUCACUGGCUCGGUACUGACGCUGAGGUGCGAAAGCGUGGGGAGCAAACAGG
rnacentral:rRNA from 1 species